UCCUACGGGAGGCAGCAGUGAGGAAUAUUGGACAAUGGGUGAGAGCCUGAUCCAGCCAUCCCGCGUGAAGGAAGACGGUUCUAUGGAUUGUAAACUUCUUUUGUACAGGGAUAAACCUAUCUACGUGUAGAUAGCUGAAGGUACUGUACGAAUAAGCACCGGCUAACUCCGUGCCAGCAGCCGCGGUAAUA
rnacentral:rRNA from 1 species